rnacentral:rRNA from 1 species
AGCGAACGCUGGCGGCAGGCCUAACACAUGCAAGUCGAACGAAGUCUUCGGACUUAGUGGCGGACGGGUGAGUAACACGCGGGAACGUACCUUUUGGUUCGGAACAACUCAGGGAAACUUGAGCUAAUACCGGAUGAGCCCUUAGGGGGAAAGAUUUAUCGCCGAAAGAGCGGCCCGCGUUAGAUUAGCUAGUUGGUGAGAUAAAGGCUCACCAAGGCUACGAUCUAUAGCUGGUCUGAGAGGAUGAUCAGCCACACUGGGACUGAGACACGGCCCAGACUCCUACGGGAGGCAGCAGUGGGGAAUCUUGCGCAAUGGGCGAAAGCCUGACGCAGCCAUGCCGCGUGAAUGAUGAAGGUCUUAGGAUUGUAAAAUUCUUUUACCAGGGACGAUAAUGACGGUACCUGGAGAAAAAGCCCCGGCUAACUUCGUGCCAGCCGCCGCAGUAAUAC